UAACAACUCUCAGCAACGGAUAUCUCGGCUCUUGCAUCGAUGAAGAACGCAGCGAAAUGCGAUAAAUGGUGUGAAUUGCAGAAUCCCGUGAACCAUCGAGUCUUUGAACGCAAGUUGCGCCUGAGGCCAUCAGGCCAAGGGCACGCCUGCCUGGGCAUUGCGA
rnacentral:rRNA from 1 species